rnacentral:rRNA from 1 species
AGUCGAGCGAAUGGAUUAAGAGCUUGCUCUUAUGAAGUUAGCGGCGGACGGGUGAGUAACACGUGGGUAACCUACCCAUAAGACUGGGAUAACUCCGGGAAACCGGGGCUAAUACCGGAUAAUAUUUUGAACUGCAUAGUUCGAAAUUGAAAGGCGGCUUCGGCUGUCACUUAUGGAUGGACCCGCGUCGCAUUAGCUAGUUGGUGAGGUAACGGCUCACCAAGGCGACGAUGCGUAGCCGACCUGAGAGGGUGAUCGGCCACACUGGGACUGAGACACGGCCCAGACUCCUACGGGAGGCAGCAGUAGGGAAUCUUCCGCAAUGGACGAAAGUCUGACGGAGCAACGCCGCGUGAGUGAUGAAGGCUUUCGGGUCGUAAAACUCUGUUGUUAGGGAAGAACAAGUGCUAGUUGAAUAAGCUGGCACCUUGACGGUACCUAACCAGAAAGCCACGGCUAACUACGUGCCAGCAGCCGCGGUAAUACGUAGGUGGCAAGCGUUAUCCGGAAUUAUUGGGCGUAAAGCGCGCGCAGGUGGUUUCUUAAGUCUGAUGUGAAAGCCCACGGCUCAACCGUGGAGGGUCAUUGGAAACUGGGAGACUUGAGUGCAGAAGAGGAAAGUGGAAUUCCAUGUGUAGCGGUGAAAUGCGUAGAGAUAUGGAGGAACACCAGUGGCGAAGGCGACUUUCUGGUCUGUAACUGACACUG